rnacentral:rRNA from 1 species
AUGGGGGACCUGAUGNCCCACCCCCGUGACNGAAGAAGUAUUNCUUUAUGUAAACCNCUANCACCAGGGAAGAUAAUGNCGGUCCCUGNCUAAGAACCCCCGGCUAACUNCGUGCCACCACCCNCGGUAAUNCGUAGGGGGCAAGCGUUAUCCGGAUUUNCUGGGUGUAAAGGGAGCCGUAGACGGCCAAGGCCAAGUCCUGAUGUGAAANCCCAGGGCCUUANCCCUGGGNNCUGCAUUGGAANCUGUCUGGCUCGAGUGCCCGGAGAGGUAAGCCGGAAUUCCCUAGUGUACCGGUGAAAUGCCGUAGAUAUUAGGAAGANCCCCAGUGGCCGAAGGCCGGCCUUACUGGACGGUANCUGACGUUGAGGCCUCGAAAGCCGUGGGGAGCCAANCAGGAUUAGAUNCCCUGGCCAGNCCAAGGGCCGAAUUC